UUUUUAAAGAAAUGAAUUAAUUUACUCUUUAAAAUUUUAUUUCUAAUGGCAUACCUAUAUAAUUACUUACAAAAAAGAAGAUUAUAUUUCAAAUGUACUUCCCAAAUAAUAUAGUAGGAUCACUUCCAUUCCGAGUUUUCUUCUUUCUUUGAU
rnacentral:sRNA from 1 species